rnacentral:rRNA from 1 species
GGAUCAAUUUAUUGGUCGUGCUAUUGUACGUACUGGUAUUAUUGAUUCCUACCUUCUGACGAACCAUGAUGUCAUUAAUUUGGUGUCAUGGGGAAUCAGGACUGUUACUUUGAAAAAAUUAGAGUGUUCAAAGCAGGCACAACCUGGCAUCAUGAAUACAUUAGCAUGGGAUAAUAGAAU